AAAAGCUUAGCAAGCGGACGAUCUGUAGCUGGUCUGAGAGGACGAUCAGCCACACUGGGAGUGAGACACGGCCCAGACUCCUACGGGAGGCAGCAGUGGGGAAUUUUGGACAAUGGCAGAAAGCAUGAUCCAGCAAUGCCGCGUGCAGGAUGAAGGCCUUCGGGUUGUAAAAUGAUUUUGUACGGAAUGAAAAGCUUUGGGUUAAUACCCUGGAGUCAUGACGGUACAGUAAGAAUAAGCACCGGCUAACUACGUCCCAGCAGCCGCGGUAAUAUGUAGGGUGCAAGCGUUCAUCGGAAUUACUGGGCGUAAAGCGUGUGCAGGCGGUUUUGUAAGACAGAGGUGAAAUCUCCGGUCUCAACCUGGGAACCGCCUUUGUGACUGCAUGGCUAGAGUACGGCAGAGGGGGGUGGAAUUCCGCGUGUAGCAGUGAAAUGUGUAGAUAUGCGGAGGAACACCGAUGGAGAAGGCAACCCCCUGCGCCUGUACUGACGGUCAUGCAAGAAAGCGUGGGGAGCAAACAGGAUUAGAUCCCGGGGGAGUCCACGCCCUAAAAGAUGUCAACUGGUUGGUGGGUUUUAACUCAUUCAGUAACGAAGUUAACACAAGAAGUUGAC
rnacentral:rRNA from 1 species